rnacentral:rRNA from 1 species
GACGAACGCUGGCGGCGUGCUUAACACAUGCAAGUCGAACGGAAAGGCCUGCUUUCCCUUGUGGAUUGCGGGUGCUCGAGUGGCGAACGCGUGAGUAACACGUGAGUGAUCUGCCCCCAACUUGGCAAUAAGCUGGGGAUACUGCGUCAAAUCCCCUCCUGACCCGUGGGGGGGGGCGGUUGGUGGAAACGGUUGUUCAGGUGCUUGCGGAUGAGCUGCCGGCUUAUCGGGUGGUUGGUGGGGAAGGGGCUAACGAGGGGGGGGACGGUUAGCCGGCCUGGGAGGGUGGACGGCCACAUUGGGACUGAGAUACGGCCCAGACUCCUACGGGAGGCAGCAGUGGGGAAUAAUGCACAAUGGGCGGAAGCCUGAUGCAGCGACGCCGCGUGGGGGAUGACGGCCUUGGGGUUGUAAACUCCUUGCGACCGCGAGGAAGCCGCCUGGUUGGAAGGGUGGUGACGGUAGUGGUAGAAGAAGCACCGGCUAACUACGUG